rnacentral:rRNA from 1 species
CCGGUGAAUACGUUCCCGGGCCUUGUACACACCGCCCGUCAAGCCAUGGAAGCUGGGGGUACCUGAAGUCGGUGACCGUAAGGAGCUGCCUAGGGUAAAACUGGUAACUGGGGCU